GACGAACGCUGGCGGCGUGCUUAACACAUGCAAGUCGAACGGUGAAGCUCCAGCUUGCUGGAGUGGAUCAGUGGCGAACGGGUGAGUAACACGUGAGCAACCUGCCCCUGACUAUGGCAUAAGCGCUGGAAACGGCGUCUAAUACUGGAUACGAGAAGGGUCCGCAUGGGCACUUUCUGGAAAGAUUUUCGGUUGGGGAUGGGCUCGCGGCCUAUCAGCUUGUUGGUGAGGUAAUGGCUCACCAAGGCGACGACGGGUAGCCGGCCUGAGAGGGCGACCGGCCACACUGGGACUGAGACACGGCCCAGAAUCCUACGGGAGGCAGCAGUGGGGAAUAUUGCACAAUGGGCGAAAGCCUGAUGCAGCGACGCCGCGUGAGGGAUGACGGCCUUCGGGUUGUAAACCUCUUUCAGCAGGGAAGAAGCGAAAGUGACGGUACCUGCAGAAGAAGCACCGGCUAACUACGUG
rnacentral:rRNA from 1 species